rnacentral:rRNA from 1 species
AUCAUUUGUCUUCUAAUUAAAGACUGGAAUGAAUGGCUUGACUAAUUUUUGUUGUCUCAUUUUAAUAUUUUGAAUUUUAUGUUUUAGUAAAAAAGCUAAAAUUUAUUUUAAAGACGAGAAGACCCUAUCAAGCUUAAUAAUUAAUUUUUAUUUUCAAAAUAAAACCAAAAUUAUUUCACUGGGGCAGUGGAUAAAAUAAUUUUAUUUUAUUAUUGUGGGUUAUAAUCCUAGUUAAACCAAAAAAUUUUUAAAUAAAAAUGAGUUACUGUAGGGAUAACAGCAUAAUUUUUUUAAAGAGAUCUCAUCAUCAAAAAAGUUUGUGACCUCGAUGUUGGAUUAAGAAUCCUAAUUCACGCAAUAGUAAAAUAAGG